GAACCGUCCAAACGUUAUUCGGUAUCACUGGGCUUAAAGCGUGCGUAGGCGGCUUGGUAGGUGAGAUGUGAAAGCCCACGGCUCAACCGUGGAAUUGCGUUUCAAACCCCCAAGCUCGAGGAAGAUAGGGGUGAUGGGAACUUAUGGUGGAGCGGUGAAAUGCGUUGAUAUCAUAGGGAACACCGGUGGCGAAAGCGCAUCACUGGAUCUUUUCUGACGCUGAGGCACGAAAGCUAGGGUAGCGAACGGGGGAUUAGAUACCCCGGUAGUCCUAGCCGUAAACGAUGAGCACUGGGUUGAGGGGACAAUCACAUCUUCUCGGCCGUAGCGAAAGCGUUAAGUGCUCCGCCUGGGGAGUAUGGUCGCAAGGCUG
rnacentral:rRNA from 1 species